rnacentral:lncRNA from 1 species
AAAAAAUGGGAAACGACCUAAUUGCCCAUCAACAGGGGACUGGUUAUAGAUUGUGCUGGAAAUGCUGAUAGAAGCCCAUCUCCAAGUAGGGUUGGCAGAUAAUAGCAAAUAAAACCACAGAAGGCCCAGUUAAAUUUGAAUUUAAAAUGAAGCAUAUGUCUCAUGCAGCCUUCCUUAUACACUAAAAACCUAUUUGUUGUUUAUCUAAAAUUCACAUGUAUAUUUUAUCUGGAAACUAUUAAUCUCCAAGAUAAGUGAGAAAAGCCAGGUGAGGUCAGGAGAGGGGUUGCUCUUGGUGAGGGUGUGUGUGUAUUUGGGCUGCUGAGGUGGCCGUCAGUUUCAGCUCCUGUCCUGGGUGUGGUUACACUUGAAGGGAAGGGACUGAUCCGGGCUCACAUAAGCAGAGGUUGAAGGGCUAGGCUCCACUCCAGGGUCCGUGCUCUGUAGUGAUUUGUAUAUAUGUGUUAAAAGUGUUUUCAAUAAAAGUAUGACAGACCACAAUUUUCUAAACUCCAUUUAAACAUUUCUGAUUUAAAAAAAUAAUACUAGCAGUCUCAGCUGGGUGUGGUGGCUCACACCAGUCAUCCCAGCACUUUGGGAGGCCAACGCGGGUGGAUCACGAGGUCAGGAGUUCAAGACCAGCCUGGCCA